rnacentral:miRNA from 1 species
UAGCAGACACAUUCCAGCCAAUCAGCAGCAGACCCUCCCUCCCAGACCCUCCCACCUACUGGACAGCAUCCAUUUUACAUUCAUUGUGAAGCUGCAUUCUUAGUGAGCUGUCCAGGAGGGGGAAGGGUCUGGGAGGGAGGGUCUGCUGCUGAUUGGCUGGAAUGUGUCUGCUG